ACACGACUACAUUAGAUACCCCGGUAGUCCUAGCCGUAAACGAUACUCGCUAGGUGUCGGCCACGGUGCGACCGUUGUCGGUGCCGUAGGGAAGCCGUGAAGCGAGCCACCUGGGAAGUACGGCCGCAAGGCUGAAACUUAAGGGAAUUGGCGGGGGAGCACAACAACGGGUGGAGCUUGCGGUCUAAUUGGGUUCAACGCCGGAAAUCUUACCGGGACCGACAGCAACAUGAAGGCCAAGCUGAAGACUUUGCCGGAUUAGCUG
rnacentral:rRNA from 1 species